rnacentral:rRNA from 1 species
GAUGAACGCUGGCGGCGUGCCUAAUACAUGCAAGUCGAACGAGGUGCUUUUGUAGCAAUACGAGGGUAUCCUAGUGGCGAACGGGUGAGUAACGCGUUGGUGACCUGCCCCGAAGUGUGGGAUAACAGUCCGACAGGAUUGCUAAUACCGCAUGUGGCCAUCGGGUUUAGAAACCGAUGUCUAAAGCAGCAAUGCGCUUUGGGAGGGACCUGCGUCCCAUCAGCUAGUUGGUGAGGUAACGGCUCACCAAGGCGACGACGGGUAGGGGGCCUGAGAGGGUGGCCCCCCACAAUGGAACUGAAACACGGUCCAUACACCUACGGGUGGCAGCAGUAGGGAAUAGUGCACAAUGGGCGAAAGCCUGAUGCAGCAACGCCGCGUGAGCGAAGAAGGCCUUCGGGUCGUAAAGCUCUUUUCUGGGAGAUGAGAAAGGACAGUAUCCCAGGAAUAAGUCUCGGCUAACUACGUGCCAGCCGCCGCCGUAAGAC